AUUGAACGCUGGCGGCAGGCCUAACACAUGCAAGUCGAACGGUAACAGGAAGCAGCUUGCUGCUUCGCUGACGAGUGGCGGACGGGUGAGUAAUGUCUGGGAAACUGCCUGAUGGAGGGGGAUAACUACUGGAAACGGUAGCUAAUACCGCAUAACGUCGCAAGACCAAAGAGGGGGACCUUAGGGCCUCUUGCCAUCGGAUGUGCCCAGAUGGGAUUAGCUAGUAGGUGGGGUAACGGCUCACCUAGGCGACGAUCCCUAGCUGGUCUGAGAGGAUGACCAGCCACACUGGAACUGAGACACGGUCCAGACUCCUACGGGAGGCAGCAGUGGGGAAUAUUGCACAAUGGGCGCAAGCCUGAUGCAGCCAUGCCGCGUGUAUGAAGAAGGCCUUCGGGUUGUAAAGUACUUUCAGCGGGGAGGAAGGGAGUAAAGUUAAUACCUUUGCUCAUUGACGUUACCCGCAGAAGAAGCACCGGCUAACUCCGG
rnacentral:rRNA from 1 species